rnacentral:sRNA from 1 species
UUUUCACUCUGGAUACAUGAGGAGGACUGACCAUGUACUGUACUUCUUUUAACUUCUAUAGAGCAAUCUCUUUGUAUUUAUACAAUUAUGACAACAGUAGUAAGAGAAGAAGGUUCAGAGGAUACAAGGUAACACACCUACAUAAACGACCUACUGGGUACAAAUAUUGUAAAUCAACAUAGGCCUAGAAAAGGUGGUCAGAUGCUGAAUUUUGACUAAAUACCUCCGAUGGCACAUGACAUGCUGCAGUACAAAAAUUCUAUAAAAAUACCUUUUUUGAGUCAUUAACAUAAAAUGAAGAAAACAGCAGCAGCCAAGAAGAGAGAUGUUGAAAUUUAAGAGAGGAAGACAGAGAAGAAAAAUCCACUGGAUACCUUAUGUGUAAUUCACCAAUCUGUUGGAACACUUCUGCCACGUGUGAAGAGUUUUGGCAGACCAAAUCCACAUGCCUGAAGUGAUGCCCACCAACAAAGACAUAAAAAUUUUCAACAUUUCAACAGCCAUGUUGGAAUCAUCUGCAGAAUACCGAAAAAGUGCCCAGUUGGAGAUUUCAUAAAAAUAACAGGCAAUCACACACGUUGCAGGAACUGUGUACAGUACUGAGAACACCCCAAUCUUGACCAUCAGUCUUUCUAACUUGUCUGUCUUUGUCCCAUCCUUUUGAAGAUUUGACCGAAUUUUGAACAAGGCCACCAAACCUGCUGCAAUGAACAAAGUUCCAAUGACCAAAUAAGUAAAGAGGGGAGCCACCACGAACCCGGUGAGGGCAUCGAGAUUUUGGUUUCCAACAUAGCACAGGCCAGUCAGUUCAUCUGCAUCCACCAGUCUCAUAAUCAAGAUGACAAUGGUUUUCACUGCGGGGAUGGCCCAGGCUGCAAUGUGGAAAUAAGAGCUGUGCAUUUCA